GACAGAGGGUGCAAACGUUGUUCGGAAUUACUGGGCGUAAAGCGCGUGUAGGCGGCCCUGUAAGUCGGGUGUGAAAUCCCACGGCUCAACCGUGGAAGUGCAUUCGAAACUACAGGGCUAGAGUUCUGGAGAGGAAGGUGGAAUGCUUGGUGUAGAGGUGAAAUUCGUAGAUAUCGGGAGGAACACCGGUGGCGAAGGCGGCGACCUGGGUCGAUACUGACGCUGAGGUGCGAAAGCGUGGGGAGCAAACAGG
rnacentral:rRNA from 1 species